rnacentral:rRNA from 1 species
UACGUAGGGCGCAAGCGUUGUCCGGAAUUAUUGGGCGUAAAGAGCUCGUAGGCGGCUUGUCACGUCGGAUGUGAAAGCCCGAGGCUUAACCUCGGGUCUGCAUUCGAUACGGGCUAGCUAGAGUGUGGUAGGGGAGAUCGGAAUUCCUGGUGUAGCGGUGAAAUGCGCAGAUAUCAGGAGGAACACCGGUGGCGAAGGCGGAUCUCUGGGCCAUUACUGGCGCUGAGGAGCGAAAGCGUGGGGAGCGAACAGG